AGGACGAACGCUGGCGGCGUGCUUAACACAUGCAAGUCGAACGGUGACCCGGAGCUUGCUCCGGUGAUCAGUGGCGAACGGGUGAGUAACACGUGGGCAACCUGCCCCAGACUCUGGGAUAACUCCGAGAAAUCGGGGCUAAUACCGGAUACGAAACCGGAAGGCAUCUUCUGGUUUGGAAAGUUUUUCGGUCUGGGAUGGGCCCGCGGCCUAUCAGCUUGUUGGUGGGGUAAUGGCCCACCAAGGCAACGACGGGUA
rnacentral:rRNA from 1 species